rnacentral:rRNA from 1 species
UGGGGAAUAUUGCACAAUGGGCGCAAGCCUGGUGCAGCCAUGCCGCGUGUAUGAAGAAGGCCUUCGGGUUGUAAAGUACUUUCAGCGGGGAGGAAGGGAGUAAAGUUAAUACCUUUGCUCAUUGACGUUACCCGCAGAAGAAGCACCGGCUAACUCCGUGCCAGCAGCCGCGGUAAUACGGAGGGUGCAAGCGUUAAUCGGAAUUACUGGGCGUAAAGCGCACGCAGGCGGUUUGUUAAGUCAGAUGUGAAAUCCCCGGGCUCAACCUGGGAACUGCAUCUGAUACUGGCAAGCUUGAGUCUCGUAGAGGGGGGUAGAAUUCCAGGUGUAGCGGUGAAAUGCGUAGAGAUCUGGAGGAAUACCGGUGGCGAAGGCGGCCCCCUGGACGAAGACUGACGCUCAGGUGCGAAAGCGUGGGGAGCAAACAGG